UGGUUAAGAAAAAUAACAAUAGAAUGUAAGAAUUCGUUAUAAUAUAAAAGUGUAGGAUUAAAUUAUUUAUUGAUAGCUUAUAAUUAAGACAAUAGUAUUUAUAAUGGAACGAAAUAUCUACAGUGGAAUGUAAUAAUAGGACACAAACAUCAUCAAUAAAGUACAAGUAGAGAACACAAUUUAAAAAAUAUAUUAACACAAAUAAUUCAUCUGUUUUGUAAUGGCUUUUAUAUAGAUAUUAGAUAAUGGUACCUAUAUCGAUUAAUAUUUUAAACUGACUAAACUUUAUACUGUUUUACAUGCCACAUGCCACAAGAUGGUACAUCUUAAAUACCACUCGAUGUAUGCUAUAAUUAUUGACGACGGGGUAUAUUAAGUAAAAAGCAUUUUAAUAGUAUUUAUAUGACGUAUAAAAUAAGUAAUUUUUUUUCGUAGUUUAUAGUUACCUAUAUAUCACAAUGUAUAGUCUCAAACUUAUUUUAGUUUAGUGUAGGUGCAUUACACAUUCAUUUAAAAGCGUACUCUUGUUUGUUUUCUUUUUUUUUUGUAAAGUGUAGUAGAAUAACUGCAUAUUAAGUACCUAUUUAAGUACUUUCCUUUAUUGCUGAUGUCGACUAUUAGUAAUAAUACUUUUAUAUUUUGAGCGAAAAGAAGAUUUAUAAUAUGUACAAACUAAUUUUAUAAUGAUAUAUGUUCGAAGUUUAAAUUUUGUAAAUAUCGUCAAAAUUUCGAAAAUAUUCAAUGUAUUUUAUAGUUGAACGUUUUCAACAUUUUCACUUAUUAUAGAUUUAGCCCGAGGCUAUACACAUCAUUUUCUGUCCUCUGUAUUGCCGCUCCUAAUUUUAAAACAAUGUAAAAUCGUCCAGCUUGCCAGUUUAUCUUCCAUCGGUGAUGUUAUAGCGCCGCGUGUCAUAUCCUACUACUUCAAUACAAAACAAUGAAUUUUGAAUUCGAGGGAAAAUGACGCGAAAUCCGUAGUUUUUCAUACAUAGUUUGUCACUAAAACUUUUAAGUUUAACCAAUGAUAAAAUAACACUAUCUAGUUUAAUAUCGAAUCUAUGGUUAAACACAUUAAAUAGUUUACAUAACCCAAAGCCUAACUUUUAAUCGGAAAUUUAAAUUCCCCGACUAUACAAUUUAAAUGUAUUUUAUACUAAUUGUACGAUUUGUUUGAAUCUUUUGUUUAUAAAAUAUGCCUAUUAUUAUAAUAUGUGCAUUAUGCAUAUUAUUACGAUUCAUAAUAUAAUAAUUCAGUUAUUCAGUAGGUAUUUGUUGUGUACGUAUAUAUUAUUCUAUGGAAAUAAAAAAAUAUAUAAAACGUUUUCAUAACACAGAAGAAUUUAAUAUAACAGAGUUUUGAAAAAAUAUAUCAAAUAAUUUAUGUCAGAUAUUUUACUUUUUAUUUUAAUUUAUUUCUAUUAUAAUUUGUAUUAAUAUAGGACGACGCUGCAUGACUACGUACCUACCCACGCCUUCGUACACCGAUAUUUAUUACUAUAGUUCCGACACUCUUAUACCAUAAGAAUUUGAAAAAAAAAACAAAUUCUUAUUUCCAUAACAAUGGCUUUUAGACUAUUUAUAUAACAAAUUAAAAGUAUAAAUCAAAUUAAAAGAUGACUUAAUUAAUUGUGAUCGUACGCCAAUUAAUUUUAUUAUAAGUAAAGCAAAAGCAUAUAAGCAGUAUCCAUAUAUCUCUUCCUAUAUAAUUGAAUGGCGAGGACGAGCACCUACACUUUUUUCGCCCAUGUAGAUGAAAAAUGUAUUCAAAAUAUCAAUACGUUAUCGUUUCAAUUAUUUUGUGCUGAGCUGUAUUUUCUUCGGUGUUUGACGUUUACUGUUUGGUCUCUCGGCUUUGAUGUAUUUAUGCGUAAUAUACUACUAUGUUACAGUACAUAACACAUACAAACUGUACCUAUUACAGGAUAUAAUUUAUUGUUAUUUAGUUAUAACAAUUGAUUUUAGAUUAUAAUAUUAUACUAAUAGAGAUAUUGGAUACAUCACUCAAUAAAUUGAAUAAAUAAAUGGUUUUAAAUGAAAUAUUUCACCUAGAUGGUAACAUCACAUAUUGAACGGUUCUAAACUUUUCAAACACCACUGUCUAUUAAAGAGAAGAAAACGCAACAUUCUUUAAAAGUAUAAAGAUGCAAAUUUAAAACAGCAAAACAUAUUAAUUUAUAAUUUAUCUAUCAAGUAUAAAUAAUGUGAGCGAUUACAUAUUAAGCGAGAUAAUAAUUUUAUUGAAGUUUAUUUCCACAAUGUGUGAUAGGUAUUAUCAACCUAAAUAGUACGGACACUAUACGAACUACGAGUAAUAGUGUUUAAAUGCCUAUGCAAAAUUCUGAAACAGCGAUAUAAAAUAAGAGUAAAUGGUGCGACCACUUUAAACAAUCAAUAUACUUAGAAAGGAGUGUUGGUGAUUUCUUCACCCAAACAAGCAAACUAUAUUUGAUAAAUUCUUAGUUAAUACGAAAAAUGCUUUGAUGACAUAAAUUAAUAUAAAAAAACUACAACAAUAUACGUAAAGA